CAGGCGUAAACUAUGCGCGUUAGGUGUACUGGUGACCACGAGUCACCGGGGUGUCGAAGGGAAACCGUGAAACGUGCCGCCUGGGAAGUACGGUCGCAAGGCUGAAACUUAAAGGAAUUGGCGGGGGGAGCACCACAACGGGUGGAGCCUGCGGUUUAAUUGGACUCAACGCCGGAAAUCUCACCGGAUAGGACAGACAUAUGAUAGUCGGGCUGGAGACUCUACUUGAUGAUCUGAGAGGAGGUGCAUGGCGUCAGUGACU
rnacentral:rRNA from 1 species